AGCGAACGCUGGCGGCGUGCCUAACACAUGCAAGUCGAACGUGAAAGGGAGCAAUCCUGAGUAAAGUGGCGUACGGGUGAGUAACGCGUAGGUAAUCUACCCCAGAGUCUGGAAUAACCUGCCGAAAGGCGGGCUAAUACUGGAUAGAGCGAUGGAAUCCGUAAUUGGGUUUUUCGGGAAAGGGAGGAAGCAAUUCCCUUUGCUUUGGGAUGAGCCUGCGUCUCAUUAGCUAGUUGGUGGGGUAACGGCCCACCAAGGCAAUGAUGGGUAGCUGGUCUGAGAGGAUGAUCAGCCACACUGGAACUGAAAUACGGUCCAGACUCCUACGGGAGGCUG
rnacentral:rRNA from 1 species